GACAUCCCAGAUGCUGCGGUAUGCCGAGGAAGAGCUGAGAACCUGUGGUGGCCCAAAAGCAAUCUCUGGCCCAGGGCCUAAGUGAAAGGGUCAAGGAGGAUGGAUGAGUUAACAGACCAGGAUUUCAAGAUGCUUAUAAGCUAUCUGGGAAGCCUUUGCUGCAGCCUCCUGUCAAUGAUGAGGUGACCAACAAUGUUCUACCUCAACACUAGUCCAGAAACAAAGAAACAUAAAGCCAGCCAACACUAGACAAAAUAAAAUUUGCUUUCUUGUAUCCUUUUCUUGGAUA